rnacentral:tRNA from 1 species
UGGCUCAGAGGUUAAAGCAUCUGCCUGCAGUGCAGAAGACCCGGGUUUGAUCCCGG